CUCUGACCAAAAUAAAUUUGGAUUAAAGAAGGGCACAGGAGGGGAGAUAAUAUUAAUCAUAGAUAAUAUUAAAAAUAAGCUCUGUGAUCAUGAUAAUAUCCAUACUGAGGAGGUUUCUCUCUGCUACAAUUCUGGAGCUAACAGAAUCCAUGCAAUUCCCGUGUUAACGUCAUGGACAUUACAAUCAAAAAACUCUUAGUAAAAAUUCAUGGAUUUCUCAUGGUGUAUCAUGCAAAGGCGCAUAUGUUUUUCGAACAUGGCAACUGCAUCUAAACAACAUGUAGCGCUCUCAGGUGUAACUCUCAUGUAAAGUCUAAUGUACAUCGGGUCAGACAGAACCAAGAAAGUAUGAUAGGAUGCAAAUUUCACCAGCCGUAGAUGGCUUACUACAAUACAGGAACCUAGCGGGUAAGAUUUACACUAAG